UUGGUGGUGAGAGUGGCGAACGGGUGAGUAAUGCGUGACCAACCUGCCCCAUGCUUCGGAAUAGCUCCUGGAAACGGGUGGUAAUGCCGGAUGCUCCGCACCGUCGCAUGAUGGUGUGGGAAAGGGUUUACCGGCAUGGGAUGGGGUCGCGUCCUAUCAGCUUGUUGGCGGGGUGAUGGCCUGCCAAGGCUUCGACGGGUAGCCGGCCUGAGAGGGCGACCGGCCACAUUGGGACUGAGAUACGGCCCAGACUCCUACGGGAGGCAGCAGUGGGGAAUAUUGCACAAUGGGCGAAAGCCUGAUGCAGCGACGCCGCGUGCGGGAUGACGGCCUUCGGGUUGUAAACCGCUUUUGAUUGGGAGCAAGCGAGAGUGAGUGUACCUUUCGAAUAAGCACCGGCUAACUACGUGCCAGCAGCCGCGGUAAUACGUAGGGUGCAAGCGUUAUCCGGAUUUAUUGGGCGUAAAGAGCUCGUAGGCGGUUCGUCGCGUCUGGUGUGAAAGUCCAUCGCUUAACGGUGGAUCGGCGCCGGGUACGGGCGGACUGGAGUGCGGUAGGGGAGACUGGAAUUCCCGGUGUAACGGUGGAAUGUGUAGAUAUCGGGAAGAACACCGAUGGCGAAGGCAGGUCUCUGGGCCGUCACUGACGCUGAGGAGCGAAAGCGUGGGGAGCGAACAGGAUUAGAUACCCUGGUAGUCCACGCCGUAAACGGUGGAUGCUGGAUGUGGGGCCCGUUCCACGGGUUCCGUGUCGGAGCUAACGCGUUAAGCAUCCCGCCUAGGGAGUACGGCCGCAAGGCUAAAACUCAAAGAAAUUGACGGGGGCCCGCACAAGCGGCGGAGCAUGCGGA
rnacentral:rRNA from 1 species